GGUCGCAUGGUGUAGCUGGUCAUCACAUCAGUCUAACAGUCGUUGUGCACUGAAGGUCCCAGGUUCGAGCCCUGGUGCGAUCA